rnacentral:rRNA from 1 species
AGAGUUUGAUCAUGGCUCAGAGCGAACGCUGGCGGCAGGCCUAACACAUGCAAGUCGAACGGACCCUUCGGGGUUAGUGGCGGACGGGUGAGUAACACGUGGGAACGUGCCUUUAGGUUCGGAAUAGCUCCUGGAAACGGGUGGUAAUGCCGAAUGUGCCCUUCGGGGGAAAGAUUUAUCGCCUUUAGAGCGGCCCGCGUCUGAUUAGCUUGUUGGUGAGGUAAUGGCUCACCAAGGCUACGAUCAGUAGCUGGUCUGAGAGGAUGACCAGCCACAUUGGGACUGAGACACGGCCCAAACUCCUACGGGAGGCAGCAGUGGGGAAUCCUGCGCAAUGGGCGAAAGCCUGACGCAGCCAUGCCGCGUGUAUGAUGAAGGUCUUAGGAUUGUAAAAUACUUUCACCGGUGAAGAUAAUGACUGUAGCCGGAGAAGAAGCCCCGGCUAACUUCGUGCCAGCAGCCGCGGUAAUACGAAGGGGGCUAGCGUUGCUCGGAAUUACUGGGCGUAAAGGGAGCGUAGGCGGACAUUUAAGUCAGAGGUGAAAUCCCGGAGCUUAACUUCGGAACUGCCUUUGAUACUGGAUGUCUUGAGUGUGAGAGAGGUAUGUGGAACUCCGAGUGUAGAGGUGAAAUUCGUAGAUAUUCGGAAGAACACCAGUGGCGAAGGCGACAUACUGGCUCAUUACUGACGCUGAGGCUC